UACGUAGGGGGCUAGCGUUGUCCGGAAUCAUUGGGCGUAAAGAGCGCGUAGGCGGCCAGAUAAGUCCGGUGUGAAAGUCAAAGGCUCAACCUUUGAAUGCCGCUGGAAACUGUCUGGCUAGAGUCCGGGAGGGGCGAGUGGAAUUCCCGGUGUAGCGGUGAAAUGCGCAGAUAUCGGGAGGAACACCAAUGGCGAAGGCAGCUCGCUGGGACGGUACUGACGCUGAGGCGCGAAAGCGUGGGGAGCAAACAGG
rnacentral:rRNA from 1 species